AGAGUUUGAUCAUGGCUCAGGAUUAACGCUGGCGGCAUGCCUAAUACAUGCAAGUCGGACGAGGGUAGCAAUACCCUAGUGGCGAACGGGUGAGUAACACGUGGGAAAUCUGCCUUUAAGUCGAGGAUAACUGCUGGAAACGGCAGCUAAAACUGGAUAGGUUAUAUUGGGGCAUCCUGAUAUAAUUAAAAGUCCUUUACGGGAAUGCUUAAAGAUGAUCCUGCGUCGCAUUAGCUAGUUGGUGAGGUAGCGGCUCACCAAGGCGACGAUGCGUAGCUGUGCUGAGAGGCAAAACAGCCACACUGGGACUGAGACACGGCCCAGACUCCUACGGGAGGCAGCAGUAGGGAAUUUUCGGCAAUGGGGGAAACCCUGACCGAGCAAUGCCGCGUGAAUGAAGAAGGUCUUCGGACUGUAAAAUUCUGUUAUUUGUGGAAGAAAGGUAGUUGGAGGAAAUGCCAAUUACUUGACGGUACCAAAUGAGAAAGCCCCGGCUAACUAUGUGCCAGCAGCCGCGGUAAUACAUAGGGGGCGAGCGUUAUCCGGAAUUAUUGGGCGUAAAGCGUGCGUAGGUGGUCAGUUAAGUCUGGCGUGAAAUUCCCUGGCUUAACCAGGGGGGGUCGUUGGAAACUGGCUGACUUGAAUCCAGAAGGGGUAAGUGGAAUUCCAUGUGUAGCGGUAAAAUGCAUAGAGAUAUGGAGGAACACCAGUGGCGAAGGCGGCUUACUGGUCUGGAAUUGACACUGAGGCACGAAAGCGUGGGUAGCAAACAGGAUUAGAUACCCUGGUAGUCCACGCCGUAAACGAUGAGCACUAAGUGUCGGACGAAAGUUCGGUGCUGUAGUUAACGCAUUAAGUGCUCCGCCUGGGGAGUACGGUCGCAAGACUGAAACUCAAAUGAAUUGACGG
rnacentral:rRNA from 1 species